CAGCAGUAGCCGCGGUAAUACGAAGGGUGCAAGCGUUACUCGGAAUUACUGGGCGUAAAGCGUGCGUAGGUGGUGGUUUAAGUCCGUUGUGAAAGCCCUGGGCUCAACCUGGGAAUUGCAGUGGAUACUGGGUCACUAGAGUGUGGUAGAGGAUAGUGGAAUUUCCGGUGUAGCAGUGAAAUGCGUAGAGAUCGGAAGGAACAUCUGUGGCGAAGGCGACUAUCUGGGCCAACACUGACACUGAGGCACGAAAGCGUGGGGAGCAAACAGGAUUAGAGACCCGCGUAGUCCCUGUCUCUUAUAC
rnacentral:rRNA from 1 species